rnacentral:tRNA from 1 species
GCGCCUUUAACAUAAUGGUAGUGUAACUGUCUUCGAAAUAGUUAGUAUUGGUUCGAUUCCAGUAGGGCGUU